rnacentral:rRNA from 1 species
GACGAACGCUGGCGGCGUGCCUAAUACAUGCAAGUCGAACGAACAGACGAGGAGCUUGCUCCUCUUACGUUAGCUGCGGACGGGUGAGUAACACGUGGAUAACCUACCUAUAAGCCUGGGAUAACUUCGGGAAACCGGAGCUAAUACCGGAUAAUAUAUUGUAUCGCAUGGUUCUAUAGUGAAAGUCGGUUUUGCUGUCAUUUCUAGAUGUAUCGGCGCCGCUUUGGCUAGUUGGGAGGGUAACGGCUUACCAAGGCAACGCUGCGUAGCCGACCUGAGAGGGUGAUCGGCCACACUGGACAUGGGACACGGACAAGACUCCUAAGGGAGGAAGCAGUAGGGAAUCUUCCGAAAUGGGCGAAAGCUUGACGGAGAAAGGCGGCGUGAGUGAUGAAGGUCUUCGGAUCGUAAAACUCGGUUAUUAGGGAAGAACAGAUGUGGAAGUAAAUAUGCACGUCGUGACGGUACCUAAUCAGAAAGCAACGGCUAACUACGUG